ACCCACCCCGCCCUCCCAGCGGCGCGCGCCCGCCGAGCACUUAAUUGUAAAUUAAGAUUUGCUGCUGAUGAUGGGCUAAUUUAAGCUACCAUGGAAAGAGGAAAGAAAUGGAAGCUGCCGACUGUAGGAAGCAGUACCUGUACUGCGCAGGGUUGCAGUGACCUAACAUCAAGAAAUAAAAACUCUGGAAAACUAGCCUUUCACAUAUAGAAAGAUCCUCCCAAAGAGCUGGAGCUCCUCUGCCCACAGCCUGCCCCAUCAGAUCAGACCUACAGUAGAAGACACCGAGGAGUAAACACUGUUUCCUGUUUUCAUUUUUUUUUUCAGUUGGACCACCAGCUACUACAACUCUAGAAAAGUGGAGGCACAGAUAUGUGGGUCCCCGAGCCCUGGGGGAGCUGGAAUGGAUACUUGCUAAAACACGGGACAUGAGAUUCUCUUUCCUUUGGAAGGGUCCUGUCGUGGCCCUUCUUGGGUUCUGGACUAUCUUACAGUGUCUGACUUUGGUUUCUGUGGAUCAUGAUAAGCAUUACUCUUUUUUUCCCCCUCAAAUAUCCCACAGCUUCAAACUUACCUGAAUGCAGGUUCCCCGUAAAAAUACCAUCAUGUAAUUUUCACGUUAGCAAUCAGUUUGAUGAACAGCAAAAUUGUUCAAAUGGGAAAGAGGAGAGAGAUAAUAUGGUCUUUUGAUGGAAGGGGAGAGGCAAGAGCCAGCUAAAUCAGAAGAGAGAGGCUCUUGCAGCCCAAGCCUUAAUUUCCUUGUAAGAAUCGAUGCUCACUCAGUGGUGACACUGAGCAUGUGAAAGCUCAACUGUGACACUCCUUAGAAAGUAGUACAGGGAUUUUUUUUCCUUCCCAUUAUCAACUCAUUAAAGGAAGUUAAAAGUACUUACUCUGUCCCACACACAGUGUGUGUGUGACAAUGUCGGAAACAUUGACUGACUCAUAAUAAAUUUGAGAUUGGAUAACAAUUUAUACUACCUUUAUACCUCUCUCCUCGCCCCAAAUUGAAUCAUUAAAAAACAUUUAGUAAGAUCGAAUGUGCAGUUCUGUGGGCAGAACUCCACAAGUCAAAAUAUUCCUGAAUUUAAAUACUCCUGAGGUUUAACAAAUUACUCUGCAAUGCAAUUUGGGAUUUUUCUCUAAGGAAGUACAACAGAGGCACACUCCCUUAAUUUCCAUUGCUCCGUCACAGAUCAGUUGCCUAACAUUCUUCCCUUAGCGUAGCUCCCAGUUGUUGCAUGUAGAAAAGCACUCCACUGAUUCUAACUUGAAAGGUGUGUGCCUCAUGUGUGCUCAGAGAGCAUGUGACAAUCGACAUAAUGAAAAAUCAAACAUCGUUUUGUUGUGUUGCUCCCUACCUCUUUCUUGGAGGUCUCUUCAUCUUCAGUUCCCAUGGGCUGGCCUGGUUCACCAUCUGGCUGUUGGAAAGGAAACUAAACACAUU